GAAGAUGAAGUUGCUUCGCGCGCUUUCGUACAAAAUUCAAAUCUCCUGGCCAAUCAGGACGUGCCACAUAACUAGCCGUUGCAUUUGAAUAAUUUUAUUUUUCUUUUUAUUCAUUUAAUUUCCUUUUCUUCCAAAAUUAAUAUUAAAUAGCUCCUUUAUUAUUUUUUAGUCCAACUUUUUUCCAUAAUUUCAUAAAAAUAUUUUCUAUCACAAACCAUUUUUGCAUAAUUUUGAAAAUCAUUUUUUCAUUUAAUUAAUAUUUUCUCUUAUUUUUCAUUUCAUUUUAUUUCCACAUUUUUAUUGUAUUCACUUUAAAACAUUUUUCGCCCUAAAUUUUGAGGUCAAGUCACCCUAUAUUUUGUUGAACUUCUCCAUUUUUCUUGAAUUUUAUUUUAUGAUUUGCUACCUAUUUUACAUUUUCUCUUUCAUUUUAUUUUAUUAAUCAUUACUAAUUCAUGCUUAAUCUUUUUUGUUUUCUUUUUUAUGAUCACUUGAGGUUAAUUCAACCGUCUUUGAUCCAAAACUGUUGAUAGAUGAUCAUGAAUCAUCUUCAAUACUUUGCUUCAGUGAUAGGUUAAACCUCGAUUUUUGAUAUUUUGAGUCAUUUGGUUUGUGGAUAGAAUGAUCCCUCUGUGAUUGUCUUGAUUCUUCUUUUCACUCUUUCAAUCUUCAUCUCCUCUCUUAUUUUUAAUCAUUGUGUUACAUGUGUUAGGAGAUUAAAUUUGUGAUAAUUCUCUAGUAUGUCUGACGCAUACAUUAUUAUUGACUGACCUGAAAUAGAUAUAACUUCUACGUAAGCAUACUUACGAUUUCCUAACAUAACGCUAAAUUGACCCGACACAAUUAAUUGACCAUUAAAUCCUAACAUUACUUCUCUGUCUUUACAUUAUUUCCAUUUAAUUCUUGUCAUUUAAUUCAAGUCAUUUAGUUUAUGUGAUUUAAUUUUAUGUCAUAUACUUAAUGCAAUUUAAUUCCAGGUCCAUUAAUCAUCAUUUCAUUUCAUACUCUACUAAUCUCGCCUUAUUCAUUUGUUGCUACAUAUCUUGUUUGACUGCUCUACUUGUUAAUCUUAAUGAAUCAAAACUUCAUAAAGUAACUUAGACCUAAUCUUAACCCUAUGCUUGACUUGGAGUGUUGAAAACCUCUUUUGGACUUUAGACUUUAACUUAGGAUUUAGGCCCUUUUCUUAACUCAUAGUAACCUUCGGCCCAUGGACCUUGUAUACAUUUUAACUCGGUUUUGUUUCUGUUAAGACUCUAAGCUUGUGUUUUGGGACCACUUAUCAUGCACGGAAAAUUGUUUCCCAUAACCCAACACAUCGGACCAUGACAUGAAACGACUUAUAAAGCUCUAAAAUCACGAGUUUCACACCAAAUUUUCACACGGAUCUGAAAUUAGCCAAGUUGAUUUACACGAAUUUAGAUCUAUUUCACACGUAUUUGAAAACCAACGAAUUCCCUAUAUAUAGAGGAAACUUUUUGCCUUCAUUUUCAAGCUUUGAAAUUCAAAGAAACUCUGAAACCAUUGAUGCCCGAUACCUCAAAUAACCAGUCAUUCUCUUUUUUGAUUUAAGUUGUUUUGCUUCUGUUUCUUUGCCCAUAAUCCUUCAUCGACACCCUCUAAAGCUAACUGAAGAACUACUUUGGCUUGAAGCUUUGUGGAACCUUGCAUCCAGAUCCGCCGUUGUUGACUUUUGAUGCUCCAAUCGAAAAGGUAGAUACGAGUUACAACUUCAAGCAAACAAGUUACGACACUCUUCGCCUUGCUCCACUGAUCAAAAGCCCUCACUUACUUAGAAUUUAUUUCCAGUAUUCAUCAUUUAAUUUUACUUUGAAGAACUAGGGUUCUUCGAGUUCCUGAGCAAAUUCUCUCUACUCAAAGCAAAUCAAUUAUUCUGAUGCAGGGAGACAUGAACGAUGAGAUAUUUUACAACUGAAUCCAUGCUUGAUUCGUGUUAAAAACAAGAGUUCAUGAAGUUACAAAAUCAAAAUCUGGAGGUUGAAGAUGAAGUUGUUUCGCGCGCUUCCAUGCAAAAUACAAAUCUCCUGGCCAAUCAGGACGCGCCACACAGCUAGCCGUUGCAUUUGAAUUAUUUUAUUUUUCUUUUUAUUCAUUUAAUUUCCUUUUCUUCCAAAAUUAUUUUUAAAUAGCUCCUUUAUUAUUUUUUAGUCCAACUUUUUUCCAUAAUUUCAUAAAUAUAUUUUCUAUCACAAACCAUUUUUGCAUAAUUUUGAAAAUCAUUUUUUCAUUUAAUUAAUAUUUUCUCUUAUUUUUCAUUUCAUUUUAUUUCCACAUUUUUGUUUUAUUCACUUUAAAACAUUUUUCACCCUAAAUUUUGAGGUCAAGCCACCCUAUAUUUUGUUGAACUUAUCCAUUUUUCUUGAAUUUUAUUUUAUGAUUUGAUACCUAUUUUACAUUUUCUCUUUCAUUUUAUUUUAUUAAUCAUUACUUAUUCAUGCUUAAUCUUUUUUGUUUUCUUUUUUAUGAUCACUUGAGGUUAAUUCAACCGUCUUUGAUCCAAAACUGUUGAUAGAUGAUCAUGAAUCAUCUUCAAUACUUUGCAUCAGUGAUAGGUUAGACCUCGAUUUUUG
rnacentral:lncRNA from 1 species